rnacentral:tRNA from 1 species
AAGAAAUUAGGUUCAAACUUUAAACCGGGGGCCUUCAAAGCCCUAAAUGGGAAAAUCAACCUCCCAUUUCUUG